rnacentral:rRNA from 5 species
GUGUGGACGCCAGUCUGCAUGGAGCCGACCUUGAAAUACCACCCUUUAAUGUUUGAUGUUCUAACGUGGACCCGUGAUCCGGGUUGCGGACAGUGUCUGGUGGGUAGUUUGACUGGGGCGGUCUCCUCCUAAAGAGUAACGGAGGAGCACGAAGGUUGGCUAAUCCUGGUCGGACAUCAGGAGGUUAGUGCAAUGGCAUAAGCCAGCUUGACUGCGAGCGUGACGGCGCGAGCAGGUGCGAAAGCAGGUCAUAGUGAUCCGGUGGUUCUGAAUGGAAGGGCCAUCGCUCAACGGAUAAAAGGUACUCCGGGGAUAACAGGCUGAUACCGCCCAAGAGUUCAUAUCGACGGCGGUGUUUGGCACCUCGAUGUCGGCUCAUCACAUCCUGGGGCUGAAGUAGGUCCCAAGGGUAUGGCUGUUCGCCAUUUAAAGUGGUACGCGAGCUGGGUUUAGAACGUCGUGAGACAGUUCGGUCCCUAUCUGCCGUGGGCGCUGGAGAACUGAGGGGGGCUGCUCCUAGUACGAGAGGACCGGAGUGGACGCAUCACUGGUGUUCGGGUUGUCAUGCCAAUGGCACUGCCCGGUAGCUAAAUGCGGAAGAGAUAAGUGCUGAAAGCAUCUAAGCACGAAACUUGCCCCGA